rnacentral:rRNA from 1 species
CCUACGGGGGGCAGCAGUCGAGAAUCAUUCACAAUGGGGGAAACCCUGAUGGUGCGACGCCGCGUGGGGGAAUGAAGGUCUUCGGAUUGUAAACCCCUGUCAUGUGGGAGCAAAUUAAAAAGAUAGUACCAUAAGAGGAAGAGACGGCUAACUCUUGGCCAGCAGCCGCGGUAAUACAGAGGUCUCAAGCGUUGUUCGGAAUCACUGGGCGUAAGGCGUGCGUAGGCUGUUUCGUAAGUCGUGUGUGAAAGGCGCGGGCUCAACCCGCGGACGGCACAUGAUACUGCGAGACUAGAGUAAGGGAGAGGGAACCGGAAUUCUCGGUGUAGCAGUGAAAUGCGUAGAUAUCGAGAGGAACACUCGUGGCGAAGGCGGGUUCCUGGACAUUAACUGACGCUGAGGCACGAAGGCCAGGGGAGCGAAAGGGAUUAGAUACCCGGGUAGUC